UGUGUAAACAGCACCUUUAAACAGUAUGGAAUAUUUAGCAAAAUCUAGUUUAGAACAGUUGACUGGAGUAAAUAGCUACAUUUACACUAGUGAGUCUACACUUUUGAUCGGUAGUAUGUCUUGAGUAUCUAACUGUAACCUCUAUAUAUUUCUGUGUUUAUGUUUUGCUCUUUGUGAUGAAAAGUGAAUUUUUCUGCUAGCCCUUAAUUUCUUAUAAAUAUGUAAAAAUACCAACUAUAAGAAAGAAGUUGUUCACAACAUUGAUUAUUGAAAAGAUCCAUGAAGGAUUUUAUAUUCAAAACUUGUGAUGUUUCUAGCUUUCUCUAUGUUUCUAAUUUACAGUAAACAUAAACUCGUUGUGAAAUGCCCUAACACUAAGUUUAAAUUAUUACCUGUAUGAUACUUUUGUGUAUAAACUUUAUACAUACUUGACACUAAAUAGCUGUAAUUGUUUGAAAAUGUGACCUCCUGUGUGUGAUAUGUUUACGUAUUUAAUCUGUAAAUAUUUACCUUGUUUUCAAAAACAAUAUUUUGCUAUGACCAAUGACUAGUCACUAUAAUGGGUAUUAUUGCAUGUGUUUUUGUCCGUGUUGUUGAGAGGAGAAAGUUUUGUGAUGUUCAUUGUUUUACAAUGGAUUGUUGACUCUGUUGCAGCAUAUCAGAAGGUAGUAGGACAUUUAAUCAAAAUAUAUAUAGCACUAAAUCCACCUACACUAUGGCUUGUUCAUAUAACCACUAAUCCCCACCAUCUGUAUCCACUUAGUAAGUUGAUCAAUGCUUAUACUGUUGAUCAGUGGAUUGUCUGGUCCAGACUUGAAUAUUUACAGACCACCACCAUAUAGCUGGAAUAUUGCUAAGUGUGACAUUAACCAACAAACACAAAAACAUACCAGGCUGUAUUGGUUAAUAUAUAUGAGUUUGUGUCACCUCAGCCAUCCUAAGUGAAUAGAUAAUGCGUUUAUUUCGGCAUAUAUAAGUUCAGGACAAAAGCAAAAAACUUUCAAAUUCAAGAUCUUGUUGAGAGAAACAAUCCAUAGUGAGUAAUUCCUUGCUUCAACAUUUUAUGAUUCCACCAUAUGUUCCAUCAUGGCUGUGGUUGCCUUGACAACAUGAAACAUCAAUAACCCUAAUAUUGGAUACAUACAGUAAUUGUUUACACAGUACAUCCAUACUUGGCUUAAAUAUCUGUUGUACUUUGAUGUAUCAUAUUUUCACAUCCUAAAAGGGAACUAUUACUCAUAAUGAUUUUUUUUACCAUUAUAUGUCUUAGAAUUACUCCAAGUGUGUUCUUAAAUCAGUAUCUCCUAGUUUAUAUACCAUGCCCUAGGUUCCUCCAGAACUCCUAAACAGCUUCUUUAACAGUGUUGACAAUCGGUCACAUUAUGUAGGUAACUUCAUUAAAGGAGAUGAAGAGACACUCGCCAUACUGGCAAAAUAUUAUGUCAAACGUUAAAUUAUCAUACAAGUCAAGGUUGUGGGUUAUCCUGAAGUUUCAGCUUGCAAAGAGAAGACAUAUUCCUGUCAUGGUUAAAUACUCCAAGGAAUUUGUUGGAGAAAGUCAGUGAUGAACAUUUAUGGAAAAGACUUCUUGGUAGAAUUGUUUCUGGAUUUUGUUGGUGGUGCAUUUGACAAUGUGUUCUUCUGGCAUAUGUUGGUGGGAAGAGCGUAUUGGAACUGGCUCUUGGUAUUCUGAUGUAAAGCAAUAUUGUCAACUACAGAUUCAUGUUGUCUAUGUGAAACUUUAUAAACUUGGAAACACCUUCCAGUAGUAUCAUUCACUUUGGACUUACCAUAAUCUGUCAUUUCCCCCAAGCGGGACAAUUUGUUUUCCCAAUAACAGGACAAUUUGUUUUCCCCAAACGGGACAAUUUGUUUUCCCAAUAACGGGACAAUUUGUUUUCCCAACAACAGGGCAAUUUGUUUUCCCAAGAACGGGACAAUUUGUUUUCCCAAUAACAGGACAAUUUGUUUUCCCAAUAACGGAACAAUGUGCUUUCCCAAUAAUGGGACAAAUAUUUUUCAAUAACGGGACAAUUUGCUUUCCCUCCAACAACGAAGCAGGCUGGAGGUGGUCACAUGUUCUCGUUUGAACUUACGAGAACUACUUCCAUUCCCGUUACCAUUUGCCUUGAAUGGUAUGCUGCAUUUUUCAUACAGCUCUUUUAUCGCUGGUAGUUUCUCAUUUUGUGAAAUAAUUGUCGAACAUGUUAAUGAAACUGAAGAUACAAGCGUGUGUGUAGGUGCUAUAGUUUAACUCACAAGGUCAAGGUCACUAAGACCUGCAUCAGGUUGAGAAGGAAUGAUGAUAUUUAACUCAAUGUACCUAGCUUUACGAAUUAUUGUUAAAACUGAAAUAUUAUUAAAGCGUCUUUUCAUGUUUCAA